rnacentral:rRNA from 1 species
UACGUAGGGGGCAAGCGUUUGUCCGGAAUCUGAUUGGGCGAUAAGCGCGUGUAGGCGGUCCGGUAAGUCCGCUGAUGAAAGUCCGGGGGCUUAACCCUCGGAUGCCGGUGGAUACUGUCGGGCUUGAGUACGGAAGAGGCGAGUGGAAUUCCUGGUGUAGCGGUGAAAUGCGCAGAUAUCAGGAGGAACACCGGUGGCGAAGGCGGGUCUCUGGGCCGAUACUGACGCUGAGGAGCGAAAGCAUGGGUAGCGAACAGG